AGAGUUGGUGGCUAGGGUUCCGGCGUCGCAAGACGUGGCUGGUCCGAGAGCUGCCACCGGCAGGGGAGACAUCCUGCCGGGUGCACGGCGGGACAAAAGCCCGGGAGAC
rnacentral:other from 23 species